AAAUGUAUCCUUUUGUAUUUACAAAUUGAAGUGUACUUUUGUCUUUUGAUGAUAUUUGUGUGUUACGUGAUUGAUGUGUCUAGGAUGUGAACAAAAAAUACAUUAAUACUAUUUAAAAUAAAAGUAGAAAGAAGAAUGUAAGGUGUUAAAUUAAAUUUUGAUAGUGUAUUUGAGCAAAAAGUACCAUAAUACUUAUAAAU
rnacentral:lncRNA from 1 species